GAUCAUGGCUCAGGAUGAACGCUAGCUACAGGCUUAACACAUGCAAGUCGAGGGGAAACGAUAUUGGAAGCUUGCUUCCGAUAGGCGUCGACCGGCGCACGGGUGAGUAACGCGUAUCCAACCUGCCCACCACUUGGGGAUAACCUUGCGAAAGUAAGACUAAUACCCAAUGAUAUCUCAGAAGACAUCUGAAAGAGAUUAAAAGAUUUCAGUCGGUGAGUGGAGGUGGGGAUCGCGUU
rnacentral:rRNA from 1 species